rnacentral:rRNA from 1 species
UGGGGAAUAUUGGGCAAUGGAGGCAACUCUGACCCAGCAAUGCCGCGUGAGUGAAGAAGGUUUUCGGAUUGUAAAACUCUUUAAGCAGGGACGAAGAAAGUGACGGUACCUGCAGAAUAAGCAUCGGCUAACUACGUGCCAGCAGCCGCGGUAAUACGUAGGAUGCAAGCGUUAUCCGGAAUGACUGGGCGUAAAGGGUGCGUAGGCGGUAAAUCAAGUUGGCAGCGUAAUUCCGGGGCUUAACCGCGGAACUACUGCCAAAACUGGUGAACUAGAGUGUGUCAGGGGUAAGUGGAAUUCCUAGUGUAGCGGUGGAAUGCGUAGAUAUUAGGAGGAACACCGGAGGCGAAAGCGACUUACUGGGGCAUAACUGACGCUGAGGCACGAAAGCGUGGGGAGCAAACAGG